GUAUUUCUCACUUUAGCAACAUAUAUACUGAAAUUAGAGCAAUACAAAGAUUAGUGUGGACCCUUCAAAGGAUAACACACAAAUCUGUGAUGCAUUCCAUAUUUGU
rnacentral:snRNA from 1 species